GUAGGACUUCUGACAUCAGGGCCAUAAGACCGCUUAAGAAUUGAUUUCCAGCCGGCCGUGGUGGCUCAUACCUGUAAUCACACUUCGGGAGGCUGAGAUGGGCAGAUCAUGAGGUCAGGAGUACGAGAUCAGCCUGGCCAAUAUGACCCCAACUCCAGCUCCCAGUUUGAAGACCCCCACAGAGGAACGGGAUCAGCAUGAUAACCCAGCUUCUUCAGCUCUCUGUCCCAUGACUUCACUCUGCACUCUUCAACCCGUCAGCCAUCUCCACACUUUGGCCCACUCCAAAACCCUUAAAAACCCUAGCCCCAAACUCCUCAGGGAAAUGGAUUUAAACAAGGGUCAUCUCCUUGUUUCAUGACCCUAUGAUUAAACCUGUUUGUCUGCUGCAA